rnacentral:rRNA from 1 species
GACGAACGCUGGCGGCGUGCCUAAUACAUGCAAGUUGAGCGCUGAGGGUUGGUACUUGUCCCAACUGGAUGAGCAGCGAACGGGUGAGUAACGCGUGGGGAAUCUGCCUUUGAGCGGGGGACAACAUUUGGAAACGAAUGCUAAUACCGCAUAAAAACUUUAAACACAAGUUUUAAGUUUGAAAGAUGCAAUUGCAUCACUCAAAGAUGAUCCCGCGUUGUAUUAGCUAGUUGGUGAGGUAAAGGCUCACCAAGGCGAUGAUACAUAGCCGACCUGAGAGGGUGAUCGGCCACAUUGGGACUGAGACACGGCCCAAACUCCUACGGGAGGCAGCAGUAGGGAAUCUUCGGCAAUGGACGAAAGUCUGACCGAGCAACGCCGCGUGAGAGAAGAAGGUUUUCGGAUCGUAAAACUCUGUUGGUAGAGAAGAACGUUGGUGAGAGUGGAAAGCUCAUCAAGUGACGGUAACUACCCAGAAAGGGACGGCUAACUACGUG